CGCGUAGGCGGGGAGGUAAGUCGGGUGUGAAAUCCCUCGGCCCAACCGAGGAACUGCGCCCGAGACUGCUUCUCUUGAGUCCCGGAGAGGAAGAUGGAAUUCCCGGUGUAGCGGUGAAAUGUGUAGAGAUCGGGAGGAACGCCGGUGGCGAAGGCGGUCUUCUGGACGGUGACUGACGCUGAGGCGCGAAAGCGUGGGGAGCAAAACGG
rnacentral:rRNA from 1 species